rnacentral:rRNA from 1 species
UACAGAGGUCCCAAGCGUUGUUCGGAUUCACUGGGCGUAAAGGGUGCGUAGGCGGUCGGGUAAGUCUGAUGUGAAAUCUCACAGCUUAACUGUGAAACUGCAAUUUGGAUACUAUCCGGCUAGAGGAAUGGAGGGGGAGACUGGAAUACUUGGUGUAGCAGUGAAAUGCGUAGAUAUCAAGUGGAACACCAGUGGCGAAGGCGAGUCUCUGGACAUUUCCUGACGCUGAGGCACGAAAGCCAGGGAGCAAACGGG